GCCGGGCGUGGUGGCGGGCGCCUGUAGUCCCAGCUACUUGGGAGGCUGAGGCAGGAGAAUGGCGUGAGCCCGGGAGGCGGAGGUUGCGGUGAGCCAAGAUCGUGCCACUGCACUCCAGCCUGGGCAACAAAGCAAGACUCUGUCUCAA
rnacentral:sRNA from 1 species